CGGUAAGGAAAAGGUUACUUCAAAUGACAACAGGACUCGUUAAUUUCCAGAUUGCGAGACAUUCUUGUGACACUCUGUAUACGAGAAGUUACAGGAAUAGGAUCAGUGUUGUCUUCGAAUAGCUCGCAGCCUCGUAUUCCCAUUAUCUGAUAGUUUUAAGAAGCAGUUCGAAGCUGGAAGCUUCGAGGUUAUGUCUCGUCGGAACGUCUAGGCAACUCACAUGGAUCGUCGACGAGAGGAUCUCGGGGCCGACGUGGAUCACGUGCGUGGCCAUCGAUCGCUCCUGGUCCGUCAACGUCCUGGCUCCGAGCCUGGCGAUUCAUCAGGAUUAAGGAAAAUAGAUCCGGUUUAGCGACCCAAUCAUCCCCUUUGAAUCUUCCAGCGAAGGGAAAAGGCGCACGCUGACCCGAUUCCCCAUCCUUGGUUUAAGAAGCAUAAUCCUAUCUGUCCGAGAGAUAAUUAAAAGCCGAGGUCGGACUCGACGAACAAAAGGAUACGUUUUCAGCAUUCUGAGGACCCGCUUGUGCUGCUUCCGCUUGAAUCCUGGCGCCAGGACCACGGCAGCUGCGCCCAGGAUCGUUCUCGACUCCUGAAAACCGUUUGCCUGGAGCAUUAAACACUGGACACUGAACCAACGAGUGAUAAUUCAUAGUUUUUAUUACAAUAUAUAUGUGCUUGGAUUAAGAACUUUAAGAUCAUUCCCUGCGAAAGAAUCUUUAUCGCUUCAGCAAUUUUGUAACAAAAAUGUGAAACUAGUCACUUUGACUCUGUAGGUUUAACGUUUCAUAGAAAAUGAAAUAGAAUUAUGAUUCGAUGGUCGAACAAACGCGUUACCAAUUCGUCGGCCAAGAGACUGGACAACGGCUUCGCAUCUGCUGGGAGACCGUCCAAUGGUUUUCGACCGUCUAUCCAAUUCAUGGGCAUUCCAGCUGCAGAGUACUCUAUAUACUGCGAAAUAAUCUCAAUGGAAUAAGCGAUGCAUCGAUUAAAAAUUAAAUAAUAAAUAUCGAAGCGUUGCCUACAUCCUUGUCUAUGAACGCGUAGAACUCCGGCCGCUCAUCCUCGAAACUGCUCCUUGGUUCUUCUUCAAUGCUCGCAUCCGUUGGUUCGUCCUUAACUUUCACAUCCGCUGGUUCUAUCUUAAUUUUCACAUCCGCUGGUUCUAUCUUAAUUUUCACAUCCACCGGUUCUAUCUUAAUUUUCACAUCCACCGGUUCUUCCUUAAUUUUCACGCCGCCUGCUUUACCGUUCGAAUUUCUGCGCACCUUCUGCUCUUUGUUCGAGUCGCUCUUGCGCUUCCUGGAAGACGCUGGCAUCACGUCGAUCUUCUUCUCCGGAGUUGUGGAGAGGUCCGGCUGGUCCCCUUCGUCCCUGGAAAAAUAGCCGUCGAUUUAGUUUUCUAUUGUUACCGUCGGACGAAGCAGAAUAUUAACCCUCUGUCAUGUAACGUAUCCAUAAAAUAUAUAAAUAAAGCUACUAAGAAUUACCAACCAGAAUAA